rnacentral:misc_RNA from 1 species
GGAAGGAUCAUUAACACUAAUCCAAUCAACUCAACCUAGCCUUCAGUUGCCUCAGCAGCGCUUGCGUUGCUGGAGCAGCACACACAAAUCUAAUUACGCAAAGGAAGCUAACUAAGCUCAUUCCAAAAUCCAAAUUCUCAACGAUGGAUAUCUUGGUUCCCAUAACGAUGAAGAACGCAGCGAAGUGCGAUAAGCAAUGCGAAUUGCAGAACCGUGAGUCAUCAGAUUUUUGAACGCAACUGGCGCCAGUUGGUCCUCCAGCUGGCAUGCUUGUUUCAGUGUCUCUUUAUCUCAUCACCCAAAUCAUAAUGCGAGAGAUACCCUUCUCUUGCUAAGCAUGAAAGCACUCUGCGCUCUGCGAGCGACUUCGACUAGUUCGAUGGUCGCACUCAAUGCAGCAGUCACAUUGCUCACAAUGUGAACUCAUUGAGAGCUGAGGCAGUGUAGCGUAAGCUACAAGUGCUUAGUCACACAAACUUACUUGCAUCUGAAAUCAAGCAGGAUCACCCGCUGAACUUAAGCAUAUCAAUAAGCGGAGGAGAAGAAAUUAACUAAGAUUGCCCUAGUAACGGCGAGUGAAGCGGCAAAAGCCCAAACUGGAAAUCUUGUACACUCCGUGUGCACGAAUUGUAAUCUAAAGGAUGCUUGCUCACCGGGCGGUGGCGCAGAAGUGCCCUCGAACGGGCCGCCAGAGAGGGUGACAGCCCCGUAUGUGGUGCCACUGCCUAACGAGUGGGUGUUCAAAGAGUCGGGUUGUUUUGUACUACAGCCCUAAGUGGGAGAUAAACUUCUUCUAAGGCUAAAUAUAUAUGGGAAACCGAUAGCGAACAAGUACUGUGAAGGAAAGAUGAAAAGAACUUUGAAAAGAGAGUCAAAAGACUUGAAAUCGUUGAGAAGGAAGCGGUAGAAAUUUAUCCUUCGGUGGAGGUCGGUGUUAGUCGUCUAACCAUUGCUGGUCUUCAGUACUGCAUAAGGCUGGGGCUGGUACCUGGGGAAGCGGCUGGCUUGACCUUGCCGUGAGGCAAAAUGAGGUCGUGCAUCCGCAUAGGCUCUCUAAACUUGGCUUGGUUCGCCAGGCAGUUUAGGGAUGUCGGCGGAGGCGCGGCCUGAGGAGCUUUUGCGAUUUUGCCAAAAUGGUUUUUACCGACCCGUCUUGAAACACGGACCAAGGAGUCUAACAUAUAUGCGAGUGUGCUGGUGGAGAAACCAACACGCGUAAUGAAGGUGAUUGAUGCCAACCGCAAGGGGCAGCAUCGACCGACCAUGAUCCUCCGGUGAAAGGUUUGAGUAUGAGCAUAUCUGUUAGGACCCGAAAGAUGGUGAACUAUGCCUGAGUAGGGUGAAGCCAGGGGAAACUCUGGUGGAGGCUCGUAGCGUUUCUGACGUGCAAAUCGAUCGUCAAACUUGGGUAUAGGGGCGAAAGACUAAUCGAACCAUCUAGUAGCUGGUUCCCUC